AGAGUUUGGUCAGGGCUCAGAUUGAACGCUGGCGGCAGGCUUAACACAUGCAAGUCGAGUGGCAGCGGAAAGAAGCUUGCUUCUUUGCCGGCGAGCGGCGGACGGGUGAGUAAUGUCUGGGGAUCUGCCCGAUGGAGGGGGAUAACUACUGGAAACGGUAGCUAAUACCGCAUAAUGUCGCAAGACCAAAGUGGGGGACCUUCGGGCCUCACACCAUCGGAUGAACCCAGAUGGGAUUAGCUAGUAGGUGGGGUAAUGGCUCACCUAGGCGACGAUCCCUAGCUGGUCUGAGAGGAUGACCAGCCACACUGGAACUGAGACACGGUCCAGACUCCUACGGGAGGCAGCAGUGGGGAAUAUUGCACAAUAGGGGAAACCCUGAUGCAGCCAUGCCGCGUGUGUGAAGAAGGCCUUCGGGUUGUAAAGCACUUUCAGCGGGGAGGAAGGCAAUGGCGUUAAUAGUGUCAUUGAUUGACGUUACCCGCAGAAGAAGCACCGGCUAACUCCGUGCCAGCAGCCGCGGUAAUACGGAGGGUGCGAGCGUUAAUCGGAAUUACUGGGCGUAAAGCGUACGCAGGCGGUCUGUUAAGUCAGAUGUGAAAUCCCCGGGCUUAACCUGGGAACUGCAUUUGAAACUGGCAGGCUAGAGUCUCGUAGAGGGGGGUAGAAUUCCAGGUGUAGCGGUGAAAUGCGUAGAGAUCUGGAGGAAUACCGGUGGCGAAGGCGGCCCCCUGGACGAAGACUGACGCUCAGGUACGAAAGCGUGGGGAGCAAACAGGAUUAGAUACCCUGGUAGUCCACGCUGUAAACGAUGUCGAUUUGAAGGUUGUGGUCUUGAGCCGUGGCUUUCGGAGCUAACGCGUUAAAUCGACCGCCUGGGGAGUACGGCCG
rnacentral:rRNA from 1 species